AUGGAAGGUCAUAGUAGAGCUAAGUUUUUUUAUUGGCAAUUGUGUGCCAAAGAAAUUGCUCCUAAACGGAUGCAUGAACUUGUGGAGGAGGUUCAUGUUCUAUUAUGCAAGCUUGAGAAAAUGUUCCCACCAGGCUUCUUCAAUGUAAUGCAACACAUGAUUGUGCAUCUCCCAUAUGAAGCAAGGGUUGGCGGGCCUGUGGCAUAUUGUUGGAUGUCUGUUUUUGAGAGGGCAAUGCACUAUCUUCGUUUAAAAGUGCGAAACAAGGCAAGAGUGGAGGGUUCAAUCGUUGAAGCUUGUAUUGUACAGGAGAUCACAAAUUGUGUUUCUCUGUACUUCAGUGAUCACGUUCACACUAUAUGGAAGAAGAAUCCACGAUAUAAUGACGGAGGAACAAGCGUGCAUAAUGAUGGGUGUACCUUAGAUGUAUUUCAGCAUGAAGGAAACCUACAUGGAAGGGAAAUUGCCCGAGAACUAUCGCGUGAAGAGUUGAAUGCAGCAAGGUUGUACAUUUUGAUCAACUGCUCUGCAGUUGACAGAUUUCGAGAAGAAUUUGAGGAUGAAAAAUAUGCGAUGCAUCCCAAUUUGACAUUGGAGGGCCUUGAUCAAAUGAUGGCAUCCGAAUUUGUGGAAUGGUUCGAGAUUGCUUGCAAACAAGAUCAUAAUUCUGAUGAGGACUUGUGGAAUUUAGCUAAUGGAUGCAGCUCUAGAGCCUAUUCCUAUAGCUCCUAUGGCGUGAAUGGAUUUCGCUUUAGAUUAGAGGCAUCUGAGAAAAAACGUAGAAGGUUGAAAACAGUGAACACAGGAGUUUGUUUGUCUUCCUUCAUCUCAGAGACUCAACAUCUUGAGUACUAUGGUGUCAUUGAGGAAAUCAUCAAAUUAUCCUUCACAGCUGGUAGAAAAAUUGAGAUG
rnacentral:rRNA from 1 species